AUUGAACGCUGGCGGCAGGCCUAACACAUGCAAGUCGAGCGGAUGAAGGGAGCUUGCUCCUGGAUUCAGCGGCGGACGGGUGAGUAAUGCCUAGGAAUCUGCCUGGUAGUGGGGGAUAACGUCCGGAAACGGGCGCUAAUACCGCAUACGUCCUGAGGGAGAAAGUGGGUGGUCUUCGGACCUCCCGCUAUCAGAUGAGCCUACGUCGGAUUAGCUAGUUGGUGGGGUAAAGGCCUACCAAGGCGACGAUCCGUAACUGGUCUGAGAGGAUGAUCAGUCACACUGGAAGUGAGACACGGUCCAGAGUCCUACGGGAGGCAGCAGUGGGGAAUAUUGGACAAUGGGCGAAAGCCUGAUCCAGCCAGGCCGCGUGUGUGAAGAAGGUCUUCGGAUUGUAAAGCACUUUAAGUUGGGAGGAAGGGCAGUAAGUUAAUACCUUGCUGUUUUGACGUUACCAACAGAAUAAGCACCGGCUAACUUCGUG
rnacentral:rRNA from 1 species